UACAUAAAUGAAAUAUAUUAUUAUCUUAAGUAUCAUCUGCAUAGUUCUAACUGAUUUUGGGUUCAAAGCUACUUAGUUCCCAGAUAAGAUAGGCCCAUAAUGAAACCAAGUGAAAUAUUAAGAUCAAUUUACCUUAUCAUGGUGGACUUAAUGGACUUUUAGAAAUCUUUGGAAGAAAACUGUUGGAUUGGAAUAUCUUGGUGAGUUUGUACAGUUCUUUUUAUCCUAAUAUUGCAUUUUUGCAUGUCAUAUUGUACUUAUUUGUCAAGUUGGCCACCUAGCACUAAUAAAGAGGACUAUAGAUAGGGUGUAUAUGUGGAAGAAGAGGUCAAUUAUUGAGAGAGAUUUUUUUCCUACUGGUCAAAUUAGUACUUUGUGUUAAUAAUGUGCUCUUUCUGUAAUGGAAACCUCCUAAUACUACUUUCUAUGUGGCUUAAUGUAACCUUUUUGCCAUUGGCAGGAGUGUUUCUUGUAGAAGAAAGGUCCUUCACCCUUUUUUUGUCACAAAUACAUCUAGUCAAAAGGAUGGAAAAAGGGUUCCCUUCUAUCUUGUUAUAUUCCCAGAUCCAGAGAUGCAAAUCAAACUGAAUUACUGUGGAAUUUAGAACUCUGGCCAGAAUAUUGCUAUUCCUCCUUCACUCUCAGGUGUAGUAAGAAAAGGAAUUGAAUUUAGCCUCUCUUUAUAAAUCAUGUCUCUAGAAACUGUGCCAACAAUUUUUAGAUUAUAGAAUCUAUAGGGAAUGGAAAUUCUAAUCUUUAUAGAAAAAAGUCUACUCAAACUUCCUUGUUUUCCUUCUCCUUCUGUGAUUAGGUCACUCCAGAAAGGUCAGGGCACUGCAAUUGUCAUGUGUGACUGCUUCCUUAAUAAACGAUUGGACUAGUUAACCUUGCCAACUAGCCUUUUAAAUACUGAAACCAAGGUCAGAUUGGUUUGACUUUGACAAAAUAGCUUUUGAAUUCAUAAAACAUGUUCUUAUGGGGAGAUACAUUCUAAUGAGAAAUAUGAUUUCAGUCUCUGUGAGACCUGAGAUCUAGAUUAUUUUCUGGAGAUGCAUUGUUUGGUGUUUUGAAAGUGAUAUAAUAUACAUUUAUUUAUAUGUAAGAUUGCUCUUUAUAUGUGGAAGAUUUAUGGCUGUGUCAGAUGAGUUUACCAAACCACCAAGGACUUUUCCCUGGAAACCCCUGGUAUAAUGAUUUAGAUAAUAAUAAUAAAAAAAUGCAUGAGCUCAAGACAACAGGAUUAUUGUCACAGGGCAAUUCCCCUUCUCUUCUCUCUCUUCCAGGCCCAACAACCUCUUUUUUGUGGGGUGCAGCUGGUGGUGGUAAGGAAGAAAGAAGGAAGGCAGGAUGACACAAAAUAAUCUAGAAUCUGAUGCCAUGAGAAUCCUGACUCUACCUCCAACUGACUGUCAAGUAUCACAUGACUACUUAAAGCUAACAUUUUCAGAGUACGAUACUUAGUCCCUCUUUGUUUUUCAUGUGUUUAACUGUUAUUUCACUGCUACUUGAAUAACUCUUCAUAGGAAAAUUCCUCUCCUAGUGCAACUACUAAGGCAGCUACUUCAAAACUUAAGUCUUGAAGCUGUUUGGAGGUGAUGAGAAGUUAAAUGACUUUGUCUGGUUCAGAUGGUCAAAACAUGGGUCUUCUUGAGUUUGGCACUGGCUCUCAACUGUGCUAAUCUGCUUCUCCUUUUUAGUUCACUGAAAUAUUUAAUGCACUGUGAACCAUACUGCUUAUGCUAAUGCACUGAUAGUCUAUAUUCUUGGAAGAAGCCCAAUAAAAAUUAAAAGAAUUCCGUUGAUUAUCCAGUGAGAAGACUUAUGUCCCUAACUCCCUCACCUGUUUUAAUGACAUCAUGCAGGUUUCAAGGCACAGUCAAUACAAUUGACUGGUUCUUCAAGAGAAGUUACAAAAAGGAAAUUCUUUGAGGAUUGCAGUGCUUUCAUAGGACAGGGGCACCCAGCAGAAUGCUAAGCUAAUGACUGACGACUUCGAACUACUACCUAAAAGUAAAAAAUGGCAGUCAAUCAACACUUAUGAGAUACACACUGUGCUAUGUAUGCCCUUCAUAAAGUAACAACCAAAAUGGAAGAAUUGUUUUUGAAUAGAGUCUGGAAAAGUCCCAAACCCUUUGCUACAGUCACCCAAAUAUUCAAGAAGAAUUAAAAAAAAUUAAAUUAAAUAUAGCCUGGCUUCCCCUUUGGAACACACUGAUCAAAACAAACUGAUUAAGCUGUGUGUGCACAUGGCCACAAUAACAGGUGGCUGAGGGGAAAUCCCCAAAGACUGUCGAGCUUAGAUGCUUCACAGCAACAGAGGAAAGAGGCCUGGUUAGAUGGAUUUAGCUUCUGGGCCCCACAAAUAUAUUGGACUCACAAAUGGGGAGCCAGCAGUGCAUGUCUGCAGCUGGGCACAACACAGAGUUCUUGACUCACAGUGACUAACAGGGAAGUGUAGACAAUGUAGUGAACAAUGAAGUGGAGAAAACUGUUGAUCAAAGGAAAUGAUAUUGGUCCGGAAACUUCUUUUCCCUACCCUUGUAAUGUUGAGUUUUGUGUAGAGAGCCUUUUACUCCAGAUCCAAAAGUAAUCAUAGUGAAUUGACACACCAUUUCCAGUAGCAAUGGGAGUGUUGAUAUGAUAUAAUUCCAUAGCUAGAAAGCGUUGGGGAGAGUACCCAAGUGAUGGGUGACAAGAAGAUGAAUAGGCUAUCAACUCUAAUAGAAGCUCUUCCAAUUUGUUGUGAAUAUCUCUUAGUGGAAAAGGCAACAAGUUGGGGUCUAGAGCCCAGGGUUCUAGUAAAAGCUUUGUUAUUAAAUGAAGGAGUGAGUGUGGAGUAGCAGGGCAGGAAAAGCUUUGGAUUUUGGAAUUAGGGAAUCUAGAUUAAAUUCCUAAAUCUAUUCCUUGUCAUAACCAUGAACAAGCCACUUGAUCUCAGUUUCUCACUUUUAAAAUGAGAGAGCUAAACUAGAUGAGUGCUAAGGCUUCUUCUAACUCUAUAAAGUUAUGAUCAUACCUACUUCAAAGAGUUGUUAUGAACAUGAAAAUGAGACCAUAGUGUGGUUUGGAAAAUAUCCUAUUAGAUAAGUAUAAGUAACAUUGUUAUUUAAUGUGAAUGGUGACUAGAUAGCUAGCAGAGAAGGUAGAGUGUUAGGCUUAAAAGUUAGAAAGACCUGGGUUCCAAUCCUGCCUCAGACACUUAUUAGCUAUCUGACCCUGGGCAAGUCCCUUAAUCUCCUCCUACCUCAUUUUCCUUAUCUAUAAGAAAAGUAUAAUAAUGAUAAUACAUAGGAUUGUUAAGAGGAUCAAAAGAGAUAACAUGUUAUAUUUGCCAGCAGCAAAGCACCCUGUAAAUACUAUCAUCAUUAUGAAUACUGUGGGAAAAUGAAGGAUCAGAAAAUACUAAAGUGAUUCAGAGAAAAUUUAAGUGGUGAAAAGGAAAGGAAUUGUUGAAUGCAAAAUGAAUGAAAAAGCAUAAUUAAGCAUUUACUACGUGUCAAGAAAGAUGCCAAAUGCUGAGAAUACAAUUACAUUAGCAAGCCAGACUCUGUACCUCUGUAUAUACUUAAGGAUCUUAUUAUUCUAUUAAGAGGAAGAUAGUCCAUGUAUCAUAUAGAGGAAUGAUGGCCAGGUAGGAGUGAUUUGAUUUGGAAAGUCACUGAGAGGAGCCAGAGGGGAAUGGAUUGACACACCUAGUAGCAAUGGCAGUAUCAGAUAUAAUUCCAGAGCUAGAAAGAAUUGGGGGAGAGUACCAACCGAUGAGUGGCAAGAGGAUGAAUCAGACACAAAGUAAAGGAUGACUGAAACCAACUAGCUAUGGUGAACCACAUGAGGCAUUCAUCAAACUGAGUAACUAAAGUUACCAUUCUUUUCUCUCAGUUACCUUGAAAAUGAAAGCAACAAUAUUUAAGAAACUUAUUCUCCAUAUUUGUUGUAUUUAUGUGAAUUAGACUGAUCUGAUUUAUAAUAUCAGAUACCCGGUGAGAACAGACAUAGACAUGAUGCAAAAAAGGAAUUAGCUAUUAAUUAUGUUAAAAUUUUUCAUUUAAUUUUUUAUAUGUUGAUAUAUCAGCUGUUAAUUACUAAGAAAUUCACUUGCUUUAUGAAAUGAUAAUAUUCCUAAAAUGUUCAGUUUAAAUAUUUUUAUAAAUUAUGUUUUAAUAAAUUGAAUCAUUUUAUGUACA